CACGUAGGGGGCAAGCGUUGUCCGGAAUCAUUGGGCGUAAAGGGCGCGUAGGUGGCCCGGUCAGUUCGUGGUGAAAGCGCGGGGCUCAACCCUGCGUCGGCCAUGAAUACUGCCGCGGCUGGAGCACUGUAGAGGCAGGCGGAAUUCCGGGUGUAGCGGUGGAAUGCGUAGAGAUCCCCAAGAACACCAGUUGCGAAGGCGGCUGACUGGACACAGUAUUGACGCUGAGGCUCGAAAGCAUGGGGAGCAAACAGGG
rnacentral:rRNA from 1 species